rnacentral:tRNA from 1 species
GGGAGUGGAGCUCAGUGGUAGAGCACUUGCCUAGCAUGUGCAAGGCUCUGAGUUCAAUCCCCAGCACUACUA